GUCUUUGCUGCUGGUUGCACAACAUCUGCUGGUUCUUCCAGCCUAGAAUCAGGGGGGAUUACCCCCGUAGAGGAGUCACCAACAUGAAACUUGCAAGAAGCACAAUUUUCUCCAUGCAUAUCAUCCUUAAGGUUGUUGUCCCCACCCUAUUGACAAACAAAUAAACCUAUUAGUUGUUUUUUGUCAAAGGAAAUCGUACAUAGAUCCCUUCCUAAGCAGCACCCUGAAUGUGCUUAGACAAUGAAUAGAUAAGUCGCUUGGAUGAGAAAUGACUGCAUGAAGUGCAGAUUUGUCAGUAAAAUGAAAAAAGUACAGUAAACAUAAACGAAAUAAAAACCACAAAACCAUGUCAGGACAAUGUAAACACAUUAAAAAGAAACGAAAUAAGAACAACGAUGAAAAAGUGUCAGUGAAAUAACAACCUCAGCAUCCAAGAGCAGCAUGUUUAUGCCCAUGAGUUCACCAGAUUUCUUCACAUUCCUAGCUUUCAAAAAUCGGAGUAGGCGGGUCAAGACGGUUCAAGUGAAACGUCCGGGAUUCAACUCAGGAAGCUAAUUCUGGGAAUUAUCCAUCGUUCUUGCAGUUUUGUAUAUGUAUAUUGAGGGGAGAAUACAAUGAGGCUGUACAAACGGUAGCUCCGAAGAUCCCUAUUUAGAGGUAAGAGAUCGGGGAGAAGCUGAAGAGUAUGGAGGUGGUGAAGUAAUGAGAUGUAGUGGGGAUAUAGUUAAUGGAGCUUGAAAGUGAUGGUUAAUGGCUUCGUCUUUAAGAUCGGUGCAUCCAUUACUCAGGUAUACGCUUCAACGAAGAGAGUGUAAUUAGGGUUUGAUUGAUGUAAACGGGGAAGACAAUCAUUCCACAUUACUUUGGGCUGUUGUCGAAACAUUAAUAAUAAUGGAUUA
rnacentral:lncRNA from 1 species